GAUGAACGCUAGCGACAGGCCUAACACAUGCAAGUCGAGGGGCAGCACAUGAGUAGCAAUACGAUGGUGGCGACCGGCGCACGGGUGAGUAACACGUAUGCAACCUGCCUGUAAGAGGGGAAUAACCCGGAGAAAUUCGGACUAAUACCGCAUAAUACCACGAGACUGCAUGGUUUUGUGGUUAAACAUUUAUGGCUUACAGAUGGGCAUGCGUAUGAUUAGAUAGUUGGUAGGGUAACGGCCUACCAAGUCUACGAUCAUUAGGGGUUCUGAGAGGAAGGUCCCCCACACUGGUACUGAGACACGGACCAGACUCCUACGGGAGGCAGCAGUGAGGAAUAUUGGUCAAUGGGCGAGAGCCUGAACCAGCCAAGUCGCGUGAAGGAAGAAGGUUCUAUGGAUUGUAAACUUCUUUUGCAGGGGAAUAAAGGACGGUACGUGUACUGUUUUGUAUGUACCUUGCGAAUAAGGAUCGGCUAACUCCGUGCCAGCAGCCGCAGUAACAC
rnacentral:rRNA from 1 species